CGGUGGAUGCCUAGGCGCCAGGAGCCGACGAAGGACGGGGCGAACACCGAAAUGCCUCGGGGAGCCGUAAGCAGGCGUAGAUCCGGGGAUGUCCGAAUGGGGGAACCCGCUCUCUUUCAUAGGAGAGCAUCCGUUGCUGAAUGCAUAGGCAGCGGAGGGCAACCAGGGGAACUGAAACAUCUUAGUACCCUGAGGAAAAGAAAGCAAGGCGGGCCCUGCGAAAGGGAACCUUUCGUGGGUGCUCAAAGCGAUUUCCUGAGUAGCGGCGAGCGAAACGGAAACAGCCCAAACCCGGCACUCAACUGAGAUCCACAAGACGCAUUUAUCAUAUGCGUAGUGGGUUUGAGUUGAGUGUCGGGGGUUGUGGGGCGUCUCAUAAGGAGUGAGAAACGGACGGGAUAGCCGAAGCGGCCUGGAACGGCCCAUCAGAGAAGGUAAGAAUCCUGUAGGCGAAAUUCUGUCCGCUCCGAGACGGACCCCGAGUACCGCGGGGCACGGGGAACCCCGUGGGAAGCAGGGAGGCCCACCUCCCAAGGCUAAAUACUCCCUGGUGACCGAUAGCGAACCAGUACCGUGAGGGAAAGGUGAAAAGCACCCCGGGAGGGGAGUGAAAGAGAACCUGAAACCGUGUGCCUACAAGCAGUCGGAGUCCGGGUAAUCUGGAUGACGGCGUACCUUUUGUAGAAUGGACCGGCGAGUGACGAUGCGUAGCGAGGUUAAGCGGGAGACGCGGAGCCGUAGCGAAAGCGAGUCUGAAGAGGGCGAUUUUAGUUGCGCGUCGUCGACCCGAAACCGAGUGAUCUACCCAUGUCCAGGGUGAAGGUCGGGUAACACCGACUGGAGGCCCGCACCCACGUCUGUUGAAAAAGGCGGGGAUGAGGGGUGGGUAGGGGUGAAAUGCCAAUCGAACUCGGAGAUAGCUGGUUCUCCCCGAAAUAGCUUUAGGGCUAGCCUCAGGGGAAGAAUC
rnacentral:rRNA from 1 species